rnacentral:rRNA from 1 species
AGAGUUUGAUCCUGGCUCAGGACGAACGCUGGCGGCGUGCUUAACACAUGCAAGUCGAACGAUGAUGCUGGAGCUUGCUCCAGUUGAUUAGUGGCGAACGGGUGAGUAACACGUGAGCAAUCUGCCCUUGACUCUGGGAUAACUGCGGGAAACUGUAGCUAAUACCGGAUACUUUCACCGGAAGGCAUCUUCUGGUGAUGAAAGAAUUUCGGUCAGGGAUGAGCUCGCGGCCUAUCAGCUUGUUGGUGAGGUAACGGCUCACCAAGGCGACGACGGGUAGCCGGCCUGAGAGGGUGACCGGCCACACUGGGACUGAGACACGGCCCAGACUCCUACGGGAGGCAGCAGUGGGGAAUAUUGCACAAUGGGCGCAAGCCUGAUGCAGCAACGCCGCGUGAGGGAUGAAGGCCUUCGGGUUGUAAACCUCUUUUAGCAGGGAAGAAGCGAAAGUGACGGUACCUGCAGAAAAAGCACCGGCUAACUACGUGCCAGCAGCCGCGGUAAUACGUAGGGUGCAAGCGUUGUCCGGAAUUAUUGGGCGUAAAGAGCUCGUAGGCGGUUUGUCACGUCUGCUGUGAAAAUCCAAGGCCCAACCUUGGACUUGCAGUGGGUACGGGCAGGCUAGAGUGCGGUAGGGGAGAUGGGAAUUCCUGGUGUAGCGGUGGAAUGCGCAGAUAUCAGGAGGAACACCAAUGGCGAAGGCACAUCUCUGGGCCGUAACUGACGCUGAGGAGCGAAAGCGUGGGGAGCAAACAGGAUUAGAUACC